rnacentral:rRNA from 1 species
CGGCGGACGGGUGAGUAAUGCCUAGGAAUCUGCCUGGUAGUGGGGGACAACGUUUCGAAAGGAACGCUAAUACCGCAUACGUCCUACGGGAGAAAGCAGGGGACCUUCGGGCUUUGCGCUAUCAGAUGAGCCUAGGUCGGAUUAGCUAGUUGGUGAGGUAAUGGCUCACCAAGGCGACGAUCCGUAACUGGUCUGAGAGGAUGAUCAGUCACACUGGAACUGAGACACGGUCCAGACUCCUACGGGAGGCAGCAGAC